GACGUAGGAUGCAAGCGUUGUCCGGAUUUAUUGGGCGUAAAGAGUUCGUAGGCGGUCCGUUAAGUCUGAUGUUAAAGAUCGGGGCUCAACCCUGGGAGUGCAUUGGAUACUGGCGGACUGGAGUGCGGUAGAGGCUAGUGGAAUUCCCAGUGUAGCGGUGAAAUGCGUAGAUAUCGGAAGGAACACCAGUGGCGAAAGCGGCUUCCUGGUCCAGCACCGACGUUCAGGCACGAAAGCGUGGGGAGCAAACAGG
rnacentral:rRNA from 1 species